AGGGGAGGUGUAGAGUGGAGGCGACUGGAAUUGCGUCUCCCACUCUCUCCUUCGCUGUGUGGAGAAUAAAGGGCUCCCUGCUGUACCAGUUGAUCACUUGAGCAUGGGAGAGGGGGGUGAGUAGGGGUGAGGUUAAAAGGAAGAUGGGUAUCCUCUGGCACUCAAAAGAUUAAGCACCUUAUACUGAACUAAUGCACUUUAUUGAGAUGGGAUUUGAAUAGUUUUUUUUUUUUUUGUGCGUGUGUGUUGGGAAUGAGGGCACACACACACAUUAUCUGUGUGUGUGUGCGGUGGAACUGGAAGGGGGGCGGUGAAACAGGCGGUGGGGUGAAUGGUCGGGAUGUUAGGUUUUCAAAGUCAGGGGGACCUUUUAGUUGAAACCUUAUCAGAGAGCAAAUCCUUUCUCAAAAGACAAACACUGUUGAUAUUUCUCUUGUUUAGCAUUUUUUUACAUUUAUAUAAAAAGUAAAGCUAUUGAAAAAUGGAUUAUAAAAAACUUGAAGAUUUGCACUUGCCUAAAAAAGAAAUAACAAAAACAACAAAAAAAUCAAACAAAUGGGGUUAGUUAUAGAAGUGAAUAUUUUUUUGAAUGUGUCUGAAUGACUGCGAGUGUGACGGUUUGUGUCAGUAAUAUACAAGUCUGCACAAUGUUUUUUUUGUUUCUUCUUUUUUUUGUUGCUUACCAAGAUGUAUGAAACAUAAGAGGCCAUUUUAUGUCUUUUUUUUUUGUUCAAAUGGUAAAUUUUGUAUUCUCAUGUUAAGAGUGUGUUUCCCUUUCUCCAAACAGGGACUUGAUUUGUAUGCUUGUGUGAGAGAGAGAGAGAGAGAGAGGCCAAUUGCACAACACAUCCUUUCUCUCACCAGCUCUUCAUCCCCAGAUAGACGAAAUAGAAAUGCAUACAUUUGUAAAUGCUAGCUUUGCGCUCAUGACAUGAUGACCACCACUAGUUUAUUUCCCUUAGCUUCUCCGCAUGGAGAGCUGUCUGUAGACCUGUGAGGACGCAGACAGGGCGAAUCAUGAGGGACAUUACUGUGUGUGCAUCAGAAUGAGACGGUGUGUGUGUUUGUGUGUGUGUUUUCUCAGUGUGCAUGUUCAUUUACUGUUCAUAGAAAUGAGUUAAAGACUACAGGUACUCAUUCUGAAUACAUGUGCUUUUUUUGUGUUUGUAUGUGAAUGAAUGCACAUUUGUGCCUAAGAACUCUGAUAGGGUGUGUGGCCAUUGAGACAUUAACUCUUUUUUGAGAGCGAGUGUGAUGUGUGUCAGUGCUCAGCACAGUGUAUGUAAGUUUAUAUCAUAAAUAUUUCUAGUUGAGUCUAGGGGUGAUCCAUCAGAAGGUUAGUCCAGUCUGUUUUCCUGGGGUGCGAUCACGUUGCCUUUUGUCAGCUCUCGAACUUGUGAAUGAAAGGUGUCGAGUUUCUGACUCUGAAAAAAAAAAAAGAUACAGCAUCUUAAUGUGCAAGUGCACAGAAGGGUGCAUGAAAUGUUAGCAUAUUGUGUUACUGAUUCGUUGUUGCAAUUUGAUAAUGACGAGUUUUCUUUUUUUUUUAUGAAAAAUAUAUAUGAAUAUAUACAUUAUAUACAAAGUUUAAAAAGUAUUUGGACUAAGAUAAUGAGCACUUGGGGCUGCUAUUUUUGUUGUGCGAUUUAAUUUUUUUUUUUUCCUUAAUUUUUUUUGUUUUAUUAUCGCCAUGUGAAGUGUGUGUAAGUUUUUCUUUCUUAAGAAAAUAUUGAAUGUAUUCCAAAAAAAAUGACAAGAAACCCGUGCUGAUACCAGAUAUUAUUUUUUUUCCUCAGAAGAUUUCAAAAAAGGAAACAAAAUACAAAAAAGCUUCAAAGAGUUUAGCAAGGACUUUUUAUAAACAGUGGAGAAGGAGAAAAAAAAAAAAAACUUGGGAUGGAUACAGUUGAACACACUGCCUCUACAAUCCUGGUCGUACAAUUAAUGACUGAGAAUUAAAAGAAAGGACUCUUUCUAUUCCAUACUGGAGUUUUGGUUGUUUACAAACCACAUGGAUAUCUGUGGGUGCAGUUUUUUUUUUUUUUUUUUUUGUUAAUUGUUUUAUUUUAUUUUUUUGUUCCCACAUAUGACGGGUGGGGUUUGCAAGUGCGCUUCUGCCAUAUGGACAUUGAGUGGUGUUGGUUUGAGGAAGAAUCGCAGGCAUCACAACAACAAUGGACAAGAUCUUUUAAGUGGACUUUAUGUGUGGUUGUUGAGCCUGAAACAUGAUGAUCAAACAUGGAGCGGUGGUAUAAGAAAUCAAGGAUGGGCUCUGAUUGGUGGAGAACGGAGUGCAGGGCUGCAAAACCCUGGAGGGGAACUCAAGAGGGAGCGAUACGAGUACACCUGUUAGUGCACUUGUCUUUCACCUCAACCCCUCAGAAGCACUCACACCCUGCCCUCACCAACUCACCUAUGCACUUUUGUUCAUUCAAGCUGUGAGGUACCUUUUUGGGGAUGGGAGCACAAUUACAACAGGAGGAUUGCUACGACUUCACUUGACGAAGUCACUGAAAAAAAAAAAAAAAUCCCAAAACUGAAAUAAAGAGACUCAAGAAGCUACGUCUUCUUCCAACUCCUGUACAUAACCAUAUUUUUGUAUUACCUUUCAGAGUAGAAAGAAAAAUUUGAAAAAUGGAUGAAGGAAAAAAUUCAUGAGACAUUGCUUAUAUGGAGUGAAUGUUCUUCAAGAAAACCAAUCUUAUUUUUGUUUUUUAUUUUUUUUGAAUAUAGUUUGAGAUAGACUUGCUGUGAGUUUCCCUCAGUUUGCCAGUUACCCCUGAAAUAAUUGGGGACGGAAGGGAAAACCACACGGACAUGGACUGAGGUGCUGGCUCAAAGACUGACUGAUAGCUUCUUAUCAAAAUGGAUGUUUUUACAGUUACUACAAAGAGCCUCACCAUGAGUGUUCGAUCAACGUGCACGCUAAAGAGGCUGGAAUCGAGCUGUCGGCGAGGAUGCUUUCACGUCGUCUACAAACCUGAGAGCUGUGGAGAGACUGCAGAAGAAACAAUCCUUGGCAUUGGAUUGUGUCUGUGCUUUAUUUGAUGCCCUCUACGAGGAGGAUCUUAUCCACAGCCAACCCAUGAACCAGUUAACCUGUCCUACAAACUUAACCCCUAGAAACUUUUCUGUUUCGAUUUGGACUGGGCAAUCCAGUGGCAUUACCAGUUGGAUGGUUACCAAGAUAAAGUUACACCUUUAUCGACCGUGGAUCCCAUCUGUGUUGGAAGUGUUGCAUUUGGAUUCCGGCACUCUCUAGUUUAAAAGGAAAAAAAAGAAAAGAAAAAAAAAAGUGAAUAAAGAGGGCAUCGAUUGCCCGGAUGUCAUCACCGACUUGGCCUGAAACUUGUCAGGUGGUUGUCUGGAGGUUCAUCUAACCAGCAGGACAGAAGACCUGCCCGGAUGUCCGGAGACUUGAGUGCUGGGUUGGGUUGCAGCGUCCGUAAUGGAUGAACUGAAAACGUUGUACAAAAAAGACUUUAAAAAAACAUGACAAAACACAAACACACAGCAACAUGUCACAUAGAUUCAGGAGGCCAAGGGAGUUGCAGACACACUACAUGCAAACCUACACACACUCGAUUACAUUGGCUGUUCUUUAGAACCACGUCUGCACACUUAACCAGGGCUACAUCCAAAUCUCACAUAGACACACACACACAAGCAUCAAGGCUCAUCAGUAUAAAUGCUGAGCUGUGUAAAUAAUGUAAAAGUUUGUGUUUUGAUUUUUCCUCUCAUAGUGAGGUUUGCUUUUUUUUUUUCUCAGUUCAACAUGCCUUAAAAUGUAUAGUUCAGGCUAACUGAAAAACGUUCUCUAAAUGAUGAAUUUAAGUUUGAAAUCACCUUGAUGACUGUCCUCCUAAGUCAAAGAAAGAAAGGAGUCUUUCUGAAGACAGUUUUUUUUUUUUCCCGAAAGAAUUUGCUUUACAAACCACCUCGAGGGUUGCUAGUUAGCUACGGUAUAAAGCAGCGAGCGAUCUUUGAUGAAUCUAAUUUUGUAGGUGGUUGGCUUUUGUUGCCCUUUUGGUUUUCUUAAAAUGACGAGUGGAUUUGUUCAGAUGUCCUGUUUAGAUAAUCGCUGAAGGUUCAGGCUUGAUUAAGGGCUGAAGUCUGUACUUGUCUGGAGCUGAGCUGGCAGGUGAAAUGAACACAAUUGGCUUAAAGAACAGACUUGUUGCUGUGGUAACUAUUGUUGGAUAUACUGCACAUGGUGAAACUAAACCAGAGUUUGACUGCUCCUUCACAAAUGGAGGGGCUUCUUGUUCACUUCUCACACUCCCUGGGUCUUACAUGUUUAGGAAAACUACUAGAUACUUUUUACUGUUUAAAGUUGUCAUUUAACGCUUGCCUUAGAAGUGUGAUUCGAAGAGCAAGUGUGCAUCAUUUGUGAUAUUUGUGGGUUUUGACACAAAACCUUGAGGUGGGUCACAGCCUGGCCCAUUCAGCCUCUGCUUUGUCUGUAACACCUGUGAUCAUCUCUGAUGGCACUGAAUAUUUAAGGAAUCAGAUCAGUUGUGAUCCGUCUGAAAGGGAAUUCCUUGCAUCAAAAUGUGUAGGGUCUUACUGCACGUAUGUAUAUUUAAUUGGAUUUGAGAGAUCAAUGCUUUUAGUCGACUAGUAGUUCUUCUGUGAACUUGAUAACUAAAACAGUAUGACGUUUUUAAUCCAAAUGGCAACUGGUAUUCAACGAGAAACAUCAAGUUUAGACUUGCAAUACAUGUGCACACUGUUCAGCUGAGGUUUGAUAGUUACCUGCCAUAGCUAACUGUGUCAACUAAAGUAACUACAGUCUGCCUCAGUAUAUAACUGUUGAAGUGAUACUGAGUUAAUGCUAUAUGGUUACUUAGUUGUUGUGUUAUCAGCUGCCAAAACAAAGAAGUUGUCUUGUAAAUGGCUUUAAAAAUACUUGAUUUGACAAAUUUUAACUGUUAUUGUGUGGUGUUAGUUGUUGGUCAGUCGGUCUGUCUUUAAAACAGAUGUUUUUGCAGUUUAUUUUACCGCACUACACAAAAUUUUAUGACUAGAUAAACUGCAAUUUUGUGUUGUAAAAAAACAAAAAAAAAAAGAGGCUCAGGUGUUAGGUCGCUGGCUCUGAUAAGUUCCUGUCAAAGCCUGUUGCUUCAUGAUAUAAAGUUGAUCAUCUGGUUUAGUUUUGCUUUGUUCAUCGUAUCUCCAACAAUGUUGCAAAAAGAGAAAUAUUAAAGUUUUAUCUCAGCCGGCUCAGCUCCUUAGCUUAAUGAAAAUGAAUGUUGUUUAAAAAGAAACACAGCAUACAUUUAAUGAAACUGUUAUGAAAAAGAAAAGAACAACUGAAAGACCUGUAAAUAGUUUGGCUUUUGUUUGUUUGAAGAACAAAAUAAAUACUAAAUAAAUAGCAUUUAGCCGUGACUGA